AAUCUUGCGCAAUUGGCGAAAGACUGACGCAGCCAUGCCGCGUGAAUGAUGAAGGUCGUAGGAUUGUAAAAUUCUUUCACCGGGGAUGAUAAUGACGGUACCCGGAUAAGAAGUCCCGGCUAACUUCGUGCCAGCAGCCGCGGUAAUACGAAGGGGGCUAGCGUUGCUCGGACUUACUGGGCGUAAAGGGCGCGUAGGCGGAUCGUUAAGUCAGAGGUGAAAUCACAGGGCUCAACCCAGGAACUGCCUUUGAUACUGGCGAUCUUGAGUAUGAGAGAGGUAUGUGGAACUCCGAGUGUAGAGGUGAAAUUCGUAGAUAUUCGGAAGAACACCAGUGGCGAAGGCGACAUACUGGCUCAUUACUGACGCUGAGGCGCGAAAGCGUGGGGAGCAAACA
rnacentral:rRNA from 1 species